CCUACGGGGGGCAGCAGUAGGGAAUUUUCCACAAUGGGCGAAAGCCUGAUGGAGCAACGCCGCGUGGGUGAAGAAGGUCUUCGGAUCGUAAAACCCUGUUGUUAGAGAAGAAAGUGCGUGAGAGUAACUGUUCACGUUUCGACGGUAUCUAACCAGAAAGCCACGGCUAACUACGUGCCAGCAGCCGCGGUAAUACGUAGGUGGCAAGCGUUAUCCGGAUUUAUUUGGCGUAAAGGGAACGCAGGCGGUCUGUUAAGUAUGAUGUGAAAGCCUUCGGCUUAACCGGAGUAGUGCAUUGGAAACUGGGAGACUUGAGUGCAGAAGAGGAGAGUGGAACUCCAUGUGUAGCGGUGAAAUGCGUAGAUAUAUGGAAGAACACCAGUGGCGAAAGCGGCUCUCUGGUCUGUAACGGACGCUGAGGUUCGAAAGCGUGGGUAGCAAACAGGAUUAGAUACCCCUGUAGUC
rnacentral:rRNA from 1 species